AUAUGUACGCGAUUGAAGUGCCGUAGCGUCUGCUAACACUUGCUUUACUGCGCAUGUGAAAACAUCCCCCUACAACCCCUUACACUGGGCAAGACAGAACAGGUUAUACAUCGUUAUUGAUCAUAGACAUAACAUUGCUGAUAGUAUUAAAGGAAUACUACGAAAAUAUGAUUGCGUGGUGACUAGCAACCGUAUAUUUUUUACAAACCCUACUAUUUCAGAUGAGUGCAAGAACGCGUUUACAUAUAUGAUCAUCGAAUAUGUAAAAUGGAAAGGCUGACAUGUGAUGUGCACAAUUAGGGAAAGAUUUAUAUUUUAUAAAAACAGAUUUGAAUACACGACAAAUUUGUAAACUUUUUCAGAGAUAUAUACUGUAUCUGUGUACAUACAACGAAAUGUAUACGUCUGUGUAAAUGCGAAUGGAACGUCGAAGAAAAUCUCGUGGAAGCAACUAAAUGUAUGCGAAGUGUACAAUUAUCAAUUCAAAGCACAUUUCAUAAAUUAGAUUUUCCAAAAACAAGAGUUUGGGAUUUAUAGAUAUCGAUGGUAUACGUUGAAAUAAAGGUAGAAUAAUAAAUAAAGUUUUUAAAGUUUUUAACUAAACUAUAUUUGUGUUUUCAGUAUUUGUAUUUUGUAUAAUUAUAGAUAAUGCGUAUCAUUUUUAUUUAAAUUUGUAACAACCUUAUUUCGUAAAAUAAAUAGUAACUCUUGGGACAUCUCGUACACAGGUUGUAAUUGAUCUGUACAAACUUUGAGAAUGAGUUUCAUUUAGCAAAACAAUAAGAAGAGCUAUGUAAACAUAAAUCCUGAAAGAUUUUGUUACAUGGAUAAUAAUGGAUAGUAAUUAAAAAAUUAGAAAUUGCAUAACUUUUUUACCGUUAAUCUUAACACAACAACUGUAAAUCUGAAAGAAUAUGUUAAAAAUAUUCUUUUUGAAACUCUACAUAAGCUUUUGCAUAUUUAUACAUGAUUUUACACAUGCAAUAAAAAGUAGUAAAAAUGUUACGCCCUAUUGCGCAAUCGUUAAAAGUUUAUUGUCCUCAAUUAACUAUAUUAGUGAAAGUUGAAUAAACUAGCCAUUUUAUAAAUAACUCUGUACAUAUAUUUUAUACAUAAAAACCGAAUGGAUUUAAAUUUGGUGAGCGUAGGAGCCAUCUUGCUAGCAAUGAGCUUUCUCACCUUAUUCAGUGAUCUUUAUAAUUUUACCUUUGAAAGGCUAUAUCUUUGUAACAAAACCUUUUAAAACCUGUUCAUAUGACCUUUUGUUGUUGUUUGGUAUAAAAUCUGUAUAUUCUUCUGGUAUACCUCUCACGUAGGAGAUUAUUGUCAAUGAUGGUUUCUUUUUAUUUAAAUUUAUAUACCAUAUCUACAUGAAUCCUUACUUGUAUAUACUGCUUCUAAUACUGCUUCGUGAUCCCGUCAUUUUAUGAGUUUAUGAAUACUUAAUAAUUAAACAAGUAAUUUAUUAAGUGGUUAUAUGACACUAUAUUGUAUAUCUAUAUAAUGAUAAAAGUUUAACAUAAUUAUUUGCAAAUUAAAUUAAGGUAACAGAAACUACGAACUAAUUUUAGUAUUAAAAUUUUAGUACGAAUUGUGAUAAAAUUAUAGCACAAACCUCAGCUCAUUGUCCCUAUUACCUUUCUGUGAUUUGUAAUCCGUUGUGCCCUUGAUAGAAUUUUUUAAUUUUAAUUUACAUAUUUGAACUUGUGUAAUUUUUAUAUUUUCAUUAAAGAUAUUAAUUGCAAUUUCUGGCUUUAUAACGAAUUAAAAAUUAGGCAAAAGCGUACUUAUUAUGCGAAGAAGAACAUAAGUUACCGCUAGUUUCGACAUUCCAAUAGAAAAUACAGAAAAUUAUCGAGAAAUUAAUUAGGCAACAUGUCGUAUGAUAUUUGAAGACAGAUUGAAGAAAUCGCGAUUUUUCUUGGACGUCACGGCAUAAAACGGCAAUGAAUCGUGAAUAUCAUCGUCAUUACCGUAACAGGUGGUGUGUACUCACGAAAUCUAACGUUCCAUAAUCUAUUUAUAGAUCUUACGAUAAAUGACUUCGCGCCACUGUGAAACAGCUGUAAAAAAUGAAAAGUAUAUCAAAGUGACGAUGAACGCUGACGUGUAUCGACAUUGUUUGACAAAUAUAAAGGUGAUACUUCGCAACUACUGUCCGUGGAAACGAUAAUGAAAUUGUACAAACGUUAUUCGUACAAAGCCAACUUCUAUGCGUCAAAUUUGAUGAAUUAACUGCAAGAUAUUCAGUUCACCGAUUGUUCUGAGACUUGCAGAAUGGCAGUUACUGCGUCACGGUUGAGGAUUCUCCGAUGAUUCUAACGAUGAAAAACAGUACGUCCGGCCGCUCUUGUGCUCACGACAACACGGAGUUAUCCAACAAUUCAAUCCACGGCUCCAGACUACUGCGGCUAGCCGUCUACUAGAGAUCGCAGCGAGUUUGAGAAUAAAGCUGAGCGAAUUAUGUUUUGCAACGAACUAUAGAAUGACUGUGUUUUCAUGAUGUUAAAAUUAUGUUAAAACUGCUCGAAUAUCGCACGACCCAGGAAAGCCGAGGAAACGAUUGAGAUGCUGAAAGUUAUCCGCGAGUGUCUGAUAUCCGAAUGGAGUACUCGUGAUAAUUGGUGAGGAGUAAAUGUCGUUCCAUAAUAAUUUUGAUUCUUAGCAAAAUGAAGCUAUAGGAGAACUGGAUGAUGGUACCAAUGAUACCGUUCUCCGUUCAUCUCAAGCCUUAAUCAUCUCAUUUCCGAGUUAGAUAAAUUAUUUAGAAGUAGGAAGACCACCCGCAGUGAGAUUUAUAUUGCGAAGUA